rnacentral:rRNA from 1 species
UGGGGAAUAUUGGACAAUGGGGGGAACCCUGAUCCAGCCAUGCCGCGUGUGUGAAGAAGGCCUUAUGGUUGUAAAGCACUUUAAGCGAGGAGGAGGGUACUGGUAUUAAUACUACCAGGUACUGGACGUUACUCGCAGAAUAAGCACCGGCUAACUCUGUGCCAGCAGCCGAGGUAAUACAGAGGGUGCGAGCGUUAAUCGGAUUUACUGGGCGUAAAGCGUGCGUAGGCGGCUAAUUGAGUCGGAUGUGAAAUCCCCGAGCUUAACUUGGGAAAUGCAUUCGAUACUGGUUAGCUAGAGUGUGGGAGAGGAUGGUAGAAUUCCAGGUGUAGCGGUGAAAUGCGUAGAGAUCUGGAGGAAUACCGAUGGCGAAGGCAGCCAUCUGGCCUAACACUGACGCUGAGGUACGAAAGCAUGGGGAGCAAACAGG